rnacentral:rRNA from 1 species
AGGAAAUAGAUACCCCGGUAGUCCACGCCGUAAACGAUGGAUGCUAGCUGUUAUCAGUAUCGACCCUGGUGGUAGCGAAAGCUAACGCGUUAAGCAUCCCGCCUGAGGAGUACGAGCGCAAGCUUAAAACUCAAAGGAAUUGACGGGGACCCGCACAAGCGGUGGAGCGUGUUGUUUAAUUCGAUGGUAAGCGAAGAACCUUACCAAGGUUUGACAUCCUGGGAAAGUCCGCGAAAGUGGACCGUGCCUUCGGGAACCCAGUGACAGGUGAUGCAUGGCCGUCGUCAGCUCGUGUCGUGAGAUGUUUGGUUAAGUCCAUCAACGAGCGCAACCCUUAUAGUCUGUUGUAUUUCUCAGGCUAGACUGCCCCGGGUAACGGGGAGGAAGGAGGGGAUGAUGUCAGGUCCGUAUUUCCCUUACACCUUGGGCUACAAACACGCUACAAUGGCCGGUACAAAGGGCUGCCAAGCAGCAAUGCGGAGCAAAUCCCAUCAAAGCCGGUCUCAGUUCGGAUUGUUGGCUGAAACUCGCCAGCAUGAAGCU